rnacentral:lncRNA from 1 species
ACAUACCCUCGUCAUCCGAUAGAACCAGACCAAUCGGCUGUACAAAGCCUUAUAAAUGUCCCAGAACAAGCAAACAACAGGAAUGCUGUUCUGAUGAUGAACCAUUCGACAGUGGAAUGAACUGCAAGAGGCAACAUCAUUACAGACGAUACAGUAGGUCAGUUGGAUCGUCAGUUGGGAUAUGAUAAGAUGAAAAGCAGUUAUAAUAAACACGAUUGAGGCUUUGACAGAUCCAUGAAAUAAAAGCCAAUAAAAUCAAAA